UCUAAGGAAAGCAGUAUUUCAGCUUCUCUUGUCUGUGGCUUUGUGUUGGUGGAGAUCAGUUUGCUUCGUGCCAUUUUCUGGUCAGCGCAGAACAGCAGUGUCACAUUGAUGCAGAUAACUUCUCUCAAUAGAAAGAACAGAUCAAGGGCUCAGUCUGCAGUCAAACUGUUGCUUUGAAGUGCCAGUUUCCAAAGUCCUUCAUAUAUAUCAACACCACUAAACGGGAAAGCAUCCACGCUCUUUGUGGGCGGGGAGGAAUGAAGCAAACGUGCAAGCUCUGAGCUGCAGACAAAAAUGUGCACGCAGUCCAUGUUUGUACGGUUACAUGCUGGCAUAUGCAAGUUUGGAGCAGUGCUUUCAAGGAGGUUAAAAAUACCUGGAGCUGCAAGUCUGGCCUAUUUACUACAGAAUUCAUGAGUCAUCCACUAUACUGAAGUCUUGAAAUAUCACAGAGGUAUUAUUCACAGAGAGCUCAGCAAAAGAAUUCUGCCCUUCAGAACUUCAGAUUCAAAAGCCAAAUGCUUCAGGGUAACUGGUCAUCAAGCAUUAUUUUCCA